rnacentral:lncRNA from 1 species
GAGCAUUUUGAAUAUUAUCCAAGUUUAAAUACGUUUUACUUUAAACAUUAUACGUCAAGCUUCCUCUGAAAAGAUGCAAAAGUAGUGUUGUAUGUUUGGUGACAGUAUAUACCAAAUUGACAAAUGAUUAAAAAGGACUCUCAAUCAUAUCAUUGCCGGUAUAUGAAAGUGCUAUAAAACCAGCUACAAGUAUACAAGCUGCAAAUUUUUAAGUGAGUACUAUUUAAAAUAUACAAUGGACAGAUAUGUUACGACUUAUCUUUAUUUCUAAAGUAAAUGUAUACUAUUGUUUCUUUGAAGUACGUCACAUACCAUUAGCUUGUUUAAAAUUUUAUUUUGAUUGUCACUAAGAGAGCAUUUGCGUUAUUCACGUAUUUUCUGGCGUAUCCGUAUCGACGUUUCGCAUAAAACGUACAUGGAGAAAUGAUAGACUAGGUCAAGAUGGUCCCUACGAAGAUAUGUUAUUGUAUAUUUGAUUUGAAUUUAGCUUCAGUUGAGAUCGGGUUAAAAUCAACAUCUUAAACAAAUCUGAUAGAAACGUUUACCUCGAUCCGGGAACGUAUCCAUUUUCAACGUCUUUGCUAGCAUAUCUGUUUUGACGUAUAUUAUAACACGUAUAUGAGAAAAGGAUAAAUUAAGGCAAAUGUUUCCAGAUGACGAUAUCUUAAAAUGCAUUUGAUUUUGAUUUAGUUUUAAUUGAGGUCUGGACCAAUCCUUUAUUUUAUACAUAUCUACCUUAUACAGUCCGUGUAACGUAAAAGUUAACAAUACGAACGAUGCCCGAACCAUGAACGGACGAUGCCCGAACGAUGUACGUACGCUUCCCGAACGGUGUACGAAUGCAAACGUAACGCUGACCGAACGUUGUACGGACGCUGAACGAAUGAUGUACGAACGAAACUAUGUACCAUAAACCAUACCAUAAACGAUAACAUAAGCGCCCUUUAAUCGUAUAUCCUAUGGUUUGGCGUAAAUCGUUUCAUUUAGCGUAUACCGUAUCGUUUAGCGUACAUCGUUUCGUUUAGCGUAUAUCGUAUCGUUUAGCGUACAUCGUUUCUUGGCGUGCAUAGUUUCGUUUAGCGUAUAUGUUUUUUUUUUUAAAUAUCAAACAUGAAAUGUGUUCUGUUAAAUCUUUUUAUAUAAGUGAUAAUAUGCGUAAAAUUCGGAUCAAUCAACAUUUUUUUGAAAAUAGCCUAAGGUAUCACCCUUUUUUUUUCAAAUGAACAACAAUUCAAGUUAUUUUAGAUGGAAGUCGGAAUUAAUGUAAUGUUCUUACCGAAAUAUAUUACGGGUCUUAAGGUUGACUUUUUGUUUAAAAAGAUUAUUAAAUAUUUUUUAUGUAGUCUCUUUUAUAGCAUGUAUUUUAAAAUCGACUGAAUAGCAAUUUAACUAUAUGUCGUAAUUAAACCAUUUAGUUUUGUAUUAUAGAUGUUUUUAUUAAUUUCAAAAUCAGACGAAAAUAAACAAAAUAUUCGAGAAAUUUCAAACAAAAACAAUUACUUAUUAUGUGCCUCAUCAACUCCAAACAUAAAUCCCUACCAAUGUACAAACGAUUGUGUAUUAUUUUACCAGUCCUAUAAAUGCACUUUACUUUAAAAAAAACAAUCAUCAACAAUUGUCCGGCAAAAAACUAGACCAUUUCCCUCUAUUCCUGAUUUUUCUUAUACCAUUUUCCUUAAUUUUCUUUUACGAUUUUCCUUGGUUCUUUAUUUUGCCCGUUAUACUCUUAGACUAUUCUAAUUUUGUAUUUUUUUUUUUUUGCUUUAUUUUCCUGUAUUUAUACCUCCUUAAUUCGGAGCAACCCACCCUAUGUAUACAUAUGAUACACACGGUCUAUAUGUCAUCGCUUGUGCCGAAAUACACAUGUUUGCAUAACACAGGAUGUCCUUGUUCAUAUUUAUUUUAAGUAUUGAAUGCUUUUUUUGUAACUUCAUUGGGGUGUAAAAGCGUCGACCGAAGUACAUUUUGUAAGAAGCGCUUCAUUCUAAAAAUGUGCGCACGGUCAACGCUUUUACAACCCUAUGAAGUUACAAAAAGAAGCAUUCAAUACUUAUAAAUACAUUUUUUAGCUAGGAUUAUGAAAACACGAUUUUUAUCAAGUUUUUAUUUAAUUUUCCUGUCCACUCUGUUGUGGGACCUCGUGUCAUCUUGAAUGAUACAUUUUAUUGUGUAAUGAAAUUGAUUAAGGAAUAACGCAAGAUUGCAGUGUAGCCAAUCAGAAUAACGUAUUAUUAUUCAAUUCAAAUCUUUAUUGCCAUAAAAACUACAUAUUUAUAUGUAUGUGACACAACAUAUAAUGAAACAUACAUCUAAUGUUAUCAUAACAUUGUAAAUGUCCUCCUAAUGAUACAUCUAAUAGUUGCCACUGGACAUAAAACAGCUAACUAUAAAUUCAUCCGUCAUAUUUUUGUUAUAAUGUGAAAAUCAAACAACAUGCUGAUACAAUAAUUAUUGCAGAUUUUCAAUAAUGGGAAAUAAUUGUAAACAAAACCACUCAAUCACAUCCCUAUGACACAAAUUAAAGUCUACCCUUUUCACAUUAAAAUACGUUAUUUUUAUCUAUUUCAAUCUAUUCUGAAUAAUUUUAAACAAUUUCAAAUCAAACGGUCAUUUUUCUUAUUUGCCAUAAAAAAAAACAAUUAUUUUCAUUUCUAAUUUUAAACAAAUCGAUUGUUUUUCAAUGGUCAGUGCCUGUCAGCAUUUAUAAAACCGUGUUUGCCAGAAAAAAAGCUACAUAGAACAGGAAAAUAGCAAUGUCUUAGAAAUACUUCGAGUCCCUACCUACCUAUCCUUGUUUCAAAGUAGAAAAAAAUAAAUAUUAUUUUUUUUCAUAUUUAAAAAAAAACCGUGGAUUUGUUUUGUGAUCAAUAGAACUUACUGCGACCGGAUUUAUAAUAAUGUUUAUAUUUAGGUGUGUACCAAAUAGGGAAACAAUAAACUGGUUAAUUGGUGACCAUUUAGACUUCGUUUAGAUAACACACGUCUUCAAAAUUAAUAGUUUAAAAUAAAAUUUUAGGAAGUUAAAAAUUGAAAAGUGAAACGCUAAAAUGUAUAUACAAACCUAUUCUAUCACUUUGUUCUGAGCAGUCUUAAGGGAAAUAUAUAUUGAAACUGUAGGAGAUCAUAGUGGGGUUUACGACAACGAGCCAUCAAUCAAACAACAAAAACACAUAAGGACAGCUAGUGGGUAACAUAUAUAGUGUUCACCAAUAGAUAGGUGUAUAUGUUCCAGAACAUAUGAGUAUUUGGACCGUACGGUCCGGACCGUAUACGUAUACUCGUACGGUCCGACCAUACGCGUACGGUCGGACCGUAUGAGUAUACGCGUAUGGUCUAGUACGAGCUAACCAGCUAACUAUAUAUGUUAUUAAAUCAUAUGUGUUAAAUUUAAACAAAUUAACAUUAAUCACAAUCUUUAUUUUUAGGUUUACUAGUUAAUAUUAUUUCAAUUACACGGAUAAAAUGAACAAAUGAACAAUUGAAAUUAAAUAUCUGUUUAAUUGUAUAUAUCUUGUUCCAUAUUUUGGUACUCUCAACCAAUGUUACACUUGAUACCACAAGUAACGUACUAAUAUGUUUUACAUUUACAUGUUUGCAGUUUGUGUAUGUUCCUUAGCAUUUGCAUUUUUCGUAAAGUUGCUAAAUAUUCUAAAACAAUUGUCCUCCCACAUUAUAUUUACUUCCAAUAUUUUCAAUUUUAGAGUUAAUAAUUCAAUUAUUUUACUGAGUGAUCGACAUGCUAAAUACAAGAGAUUAACAGAUUCAAUUAGCGUGAAUUUUUUAAAUCAAUAAAAUAUAAAAGUUUUUGUUCAAUUACAGUUAAACUUUUUUAUAUCAAUUUGAGAAUUAAGUUAUAUUGAUCUGUUAUAUGCAUCUAAUUAACUUUGCCAACUUCUUAAUAUAAGUCAGACCGUACGCGUACGGUCCGACCGUAUGAGUAUUUUGAAAAAGUACGCAUACGGUCCAGAGCGUACGCGUACGGUCCAAAUACUCAUACAGUCUGGAACAUAUACACAAAAUGCCAAUUUCUAAAUCAUCCCUUAUUUCUUUAUCAUUGUGAAUAAUUUAUCCCGGAAAAUAGAAUACAUGUACUACAUGUCUUUGAUUUAACAAAUGAUAAAGGAUCUGGCGUAAAAACGUGAUUCUUAAUAUAAUUUAAAAAUUGAGGAGAAAGCCAGAAUAAGAAAGUUAUACAAUUUAAAGAGUACCAUGCCAUCAUUUUUUUCAUAUUAUUGUAAUUUAUGUUUAUGUUCCCGAUAUGGAGUUCUUCUAAAAUUAAAUAUAACUUGAAUGGGUAUUUAUGGUGUAUAUACAUGUACCGCACGUGCUAUCUACAUGUACAAUAUACGGAAAAGACACGGCUGGGUAUUGUAAAGUUACUGAAUGAAGAUUACUGUCAAGGGUAUAUCCCCGGGCGAAGAAUUUACUGGUUUGUCAAAACGGUUAGGUGUAAUUUGUCAUAUUGUAAAGGUUUGAAUCGCGCUCAUCUCUUAAUUUUUUUUAAUAUGAAAUGCGCCAAUAAAUGAAACUUGACAUAUUCCCCAUUUCCAUUCUCAAUUUGAUUAAUUUAAAGAUAAAGAUAUUUUAUUUCCUAAUCAUAGGGCUCAUAACAAGCAUGUAAUUACAUAAAGUAAAAAUAAAAAGCCUUUCUCUCCCACUCAUUAAUUGUGUCAUAUUAACUUCGAAACGAUUAACCUAUUUUACACGUACAUGUAACAUUAGAAUACUGACUUCAACUGUUGAAUAACUUUAUAAUUACUAAAAUUACUAAAAUUUGAAAUUAUGUACUUCUCCUUCCGUAUGCCAUGUUUUUUGUGUCAAUUCUAUCUUUCCAUCAGGUCCCUAGUGCACUAUUUUGUUCUAAGUGCAAUAAGGAGGCCCUUUCAGUUUGCGGUAUCUGUACAUGUAAAUACCGGAAAGGACCUCAUCAGUGCACUAAGAAGAAACAUUUGAAAACAAGUCUAUAAUAUUUGCGCAAUUAAAUGAUUGUUUUAUUGGCGCAAAUGAAUGUUGCAGUUUUUACAAUAGGUGAUGCAAAAUAAGAAUUGGCGUAAUUAACUUGUGGCGCAAAUUAAUUCUUUUCUAGCGAAACUGGAUAUCGGCCUUCAAAACAUUGUGUGUGCAUAAACAAAACAGUAUUUAUAUUUUACGCAGUCUAGCCGGAGAAUAAAAGUUUUUGCAAUUUGUGUAGGAUUUUAAUUUUAGAAUUUAAUGAACAAGAAGAUCGUUAGAGACCUUAAGUGAAUCGGAAAAUGAGCUAUGCGCGAUGAAAGGGAAAAUUUGGUGCGUCGAUAACAAAUUUCAUGGAUGCAUGUGAUAACUGUAAAAUGUCAAGUCUUUAAAUAACACCCAUUUGUAGAACUGAUUAUUUCGAUCUUUCAAAUAUGUGUAGAAUAAUAAUUAAAAAAUAUAUUAUUUAGUCUCUUUCAUAUAAAUACUGUAUUUGUAUUUGAUCAUCGAUUGAAAACAUAACUUCCAGUGAGAAAUAUUUCAUGUAUUCGUACAAAGAACAAAUCAACUUCUUUUAUAAUACAAUUGAAUGGUUAUUUAGGUAAAUGAUUUACGACAGAAUAAGUGAAACUUGUCGAGAAGCUUACCUCUGAAAUAAAGAAAUAUAAAAAGGUAGAGUUAUUUUUUAAUUCUGUAUUUUACUCAUAAUGUACUUAAGCACUUUUUACAGUAAAAAAACAGUUUUAACACUGACAGCAGGAAUCACAAGCGACGCUGGUUCCAUAGAUAUCUUCAAAGAAUUUUUAUAUACCCCUGGCAGUUUUCGGUUUAUAUCAGACUCUCACAUUGAGGAGAACAAAUACCAUGCAUGGAUGUGUUGGCUUUUUUUUUAAUACAUUUAGAUAUGAAACAUGUACUUCAUAUAAAGCCUCAUGUAUAGAACAUUCUUUAUAAUUUAUUGUGUCAAGGAAAUAUUUGGAUUAGAGAAAUGUUUGGCGGAGGAGAGAGAGAGAGACAUAGAGAGCCUGACUUAUAUCGCGGUAUUUGGUCUAAUGUUAUUCAUGUCAAAAUGUGAUUGGAGGAAACGUUUCCCAUUCGUUUUAUAUAUAUUCCAUAAUGAUUGAAUCCAAUCCAAACUAAUAUUUUGUUUUAUCCCGCAUCUUUUUAUAUUAAAUCACUUUAACUUAUAACUAUAAUAAUUGAAAUAACUUUCUGAAAUAAAACCCUAACAUACGUGUAUAUCAGACGUUUAACAAAACGAUAUACCAUACGAUUGAUGAAACGCUAAACGAUAUCACAUACCAUACGAUAAACGAAACGCUAAACGCUAAACCAUACCAUAAACCAUACGACAAAUAAAACGAUUAACGAUACCAUGAACCAUACGUUAUACAAAACCAUCAACGAUAACAUUUACCAUACGAUGAACGAACGAUGAACGAACGCUGACCGAACGUUGUACGGACGCUAUACGAAUGAUAUACGAACGAUGACCGAACUCUAUACGAACGAUUACCGAACGCUGUACGUACACUAACCGAACGAAAUAAGUGUUAACUUUUACGUUACAGGGACUGUACGUAUACAUAGAUCUGUGUGCGUAUUCAGAUACGUAAAUAAUAUGAACGCUCUACUACAGACAAAUAUAUAUUGGUUUUUUUUUCUCGAAUAAUCCGACCGAUACCCGCAAGACACUUGCAUGUUUAUGGACACCAAAAUAACGGUUUUUGACACAUUCAUGACAAUCAUGUCGUAUCGGUAAAGAAUUGUGUUCAGUUGCUCAAAUUUUAAGAAAAAACGUCUUGAUAUCAACAAUUAUGCUAUAUUUUUUACAACCGGCCUUUUCUGUUGAUGAAAUGUUAAUAUACUAAGGACACGAAGGAUACAAAUUAUUAAACUUCUAUCUGUGUUAUCUAACCAUAAUGCACAUAUGUGUUUAAGGGACUUAGACAGUUCUUUGAAAUAAACACAUAAUAAUGUAUAAUCUGUGCUCUGUAAGCGUGUUGUAUUUCUCCAAACAUAUUUAAAUUAUAAUAUAACACAAAACAAAUAUGAAAUUGCUGAAUAGUUGCCUUCAAAACGUGAGGAAAGACAACUGUCAAAAAUAAUAAUACAGUUGUGUGAACCUUUUCUGAAUAUAGAAAGUAAAUGUUUCUAAUGAAUUUGGUCUUUUAAAACAUCCGGGAUGUAUGUCGAUACAAUACAUGAUAUUCGAAGCAUAGAAAUACUGGGUAGUUGAAUUUCAUAUAUUGAUUUAACAGGGUAUAUUUCUUCUUUGAUGACAUUUCAAUCAUUGUAAUAAUGAAAAUCUAUAGAGCAGAGCAUUCUGAAUAGAAUAGAAUAGUGAAUUAUUAAACAUUCCUUUACUUCUAAGUUACAGCUGUAAUUUAACUUACAGUGUUUUUUUUUUAGGUAAGUUAAGUUUAGAUCUGUCAUGCAUAGAUAUUUUACGACUUCUUCAGAUUACAGAACUAUAUAUCUUAUAUGUCUUUCCAGAACAUCUCUAGGUCAAUCAUUUAUUUUUAUGUUGGUUUUUUUCAAGCUGACUAUUCCUACUUAAGCCAAAUACGUCUUGUUAAUUUAAACGACCAAACUGACCCUCUUCAAGACAUACGCCUAUCCUUUUGAAACCAACCUUAUUUUCAUUUCUAAUACAUUCAUUUCAAAAGACGUUAGUUGUUCAUUGGUAACGAUGCCAAGGUCUCCAGUAAUAAUAUGACCAGCUGGACUGUAAUUGUAUUGGGACGAUGCACAUGAGCAAUCCGGAGGCUUGGAUUUUGUAUCUUUGAGGUUAAAAGCCUCUAAAACUCUCUUGUGGUUGAAAAUCUUGGAUGCAAUGGACUUGGUGUAAGUAUAAGAAAUAACAGGUGUAGCUUUAUUUUUGAAGUAAUCAGGUAUAGUUUUUUGUACAGAUUUUUGAUGAAAAAUAUUGCUAAUAUUUACAGCAUCUAAACCUUUAUCGGCGAAUUUUACCUUAAAAAAAUAACGUUUUUCCUCACUAUUGGAUGUAGUCGAUACGGGUUUGAAUAGUCUAUGGUUAGCAAUGUCCAUGAUAAUUGCAACUAAGCUAUACAAAACAGAACGAGAAUCAGUAACGGAAGUAUUUUGGGCAUCUUGAAAUAGUAAAGAAAGUUUUGACAAUGGAAUGGAGUAUAAUUUAGUUCUAAUAUGAUGAAUUCCUAAUUUUUUUUUUUGAACAGACGUUAAUAGACAUCAAUUGUCACGGUGUGUACAGCAGGUGGUUUAUAUUUUCUGUGACUAUGACUUCUAUUUCGUCGAGCAGAAGUAUUAAACAAUUGUAAUGUAUUGACGGUACUACACCUGGGACUAGACAAAAUACCUACACCAUCAAUUUUGUCAUUGCAUCCAUAGGGAAUGGCUGUUCCCAACUCUCUUAUCCAAAAGUCUUCUCGUUGUAAACGAUAUGGUGUACUCAAUAUGGGUCAUUUGUUGGAUGAUAUAUUUUCUCUAUAAUCCGGACUUUCAUUGACACAAUCGAAUGGUCGGGCUGAAUGAAAUGCUUAUAGAGAAAUUUGUUGUUAUUAGGAUCAUUUGCAUUAGACCGAUGAUCAUUCAUCCUAAAAUUGAGUCUUGUCGAGUUUCCCCGACGGAGAUCAAUCCACAAAGAGUACAUUCAAUACCGUAUACAAUAUUGGAAGCAGUGUAAUUCAAAUCCUCAUGACUAUGUGUAUUGUAAUUUUUGGUGGUGUCAAAUUACUUUGGAAAGUGGGUAUCAGUUAUAAGUAUAUCACAGGUUUUACAAUUUUUACGGUUACAUUUGGAAAUAGAGCAAUAUUGAUGGUUGUCAUUGAAAUCUAAAAUAUCUGAAAGUUGAACAGUACACGGCCGAAUAUAUUCAAACUUGUCUGAAUUUUUAUGAUGGAUUCAGAAGACUGCACGUGUGUCAUUUUCAUAACAUCAUUUAAGAUGAUCCUGGGGACACCUGAUACAAUCGGUGUUGUUGUGUCCUUGACAACAGCCGAUUGACACCUUUUUAUCCUGGGCGUCGUAUCAUCCAGUAUAAUAUUUUUGGUUCUACUAGUUUUCAUGCUGUUAGGCUACCGGACUGGUAGAAUCCUCGGGGACAGAUUGUCCACCAGCAGAGAUUCCGGUCCGGUGGUGAUAAAUAAAGGCAACAGUAGUAUACCGCUGUUCAAAACUCAUAAAUUCAUGGUCAAAAAACAAAAUCGGGGUAAAUAUAAGAGGAGAACAACGACAUAACACUAAAAUGUAACAUACAUAGACAAAAUCCCACGAGAAUAACAAAUAUAACAUAUAUAUAUAACAUCAAAACCAAAUACAUGAAUGUGGGAUAGACAAGUACCGUGACACGUCUUAUCGCAAUGUAAAUUUACACUCAAAAAUAAGAGAAAACAAACGACACAACGUUAUAAUGUAAUACACACAGACACGAACUAUAAUAUAACAAUGGCCAUAUUCCUGACUUGGUACAGGGCAUUUUUAAAGGGAAAAAUGGUGGGUUGAACCUGGUUUGUGGCAUGCCAAACCUCGCACUUUUAUGGCCAUGUGAAAUAUAACAUCAAAAUGACAACACAGGACUACAAUAUAAAUAAAUUGGAGAACACAAUUGACAAAGAAUCACACGAACAACAGUCAACAAAAGGCAACAAGUUCAAAAUUUUGAUACGCCAGAAGUGUAUUUUGUCCACACAAGACCUACGUGUGACGCCCAGAUACAAAAGUUUGAAAGCCAAAACGAGUACAAAGUUGAACAGCAUUGAGGACCAAAAGAUCAAAAAGGUUGUGCCAAAAACGGCAAGGGUUUUCUGUUAGUUACCAGAAAAUCCCUAUAAUUUAGAAUAAUUUAUACUUUUGCAAACAGUAAAUUUUAUAAAAUGAAUAUUCAAAAGAUGUACAUGAUAAAACUGAAGUAUUAACUAAUUACAGGAAACAGCUGAAAUACAUGUACAUAACAAGACAUUUGAAACACAAAAGUAGACACAUCCGAAUAAGUUUAAACCUCUACGCCAAGUGACGUCCUAUUUGAAACAGAAAAAUGACGAAAAAAUGACGUCACUUGAAUUUGUAAAACAGAUCAUCACAAAAUGAAAAAUGACGUCACAUAAGAAUGAAUAAGAUAGAAUUAGGAUUGAUUGAAGAUUAUAUAUUUGAACUAAAUACUGAUAUUGCAUUUAAUAACAAAGCACAUUUUAAUACUUAUUAAUAUCAAACUAAGGUAGCAAUUAACUAUAGUAUAAAACUAUGUCCGGUUUGUUUUGAAUCUAACUUCAAACGUAAAAUAUCGUACUGAUUACGUUGAACGAAAUCAAAACGGAUAAAUGAAGGCGGUGAUUAAUUUUCUUUACCAUAACACAUAAAUAUAAGAGAAAAGACGUCAACACAUUUGACAAAAUCCGAUAAGAAUUACAAAUACAUGUAUAACAUUACACAUUUAAACUAAAUACAUGAAUUUGGGAUAGACAAGUACCGGAACACGUCUUAUAGUAAUGCAAGUUCACACUCGACAAAACAGUCACAGUCGGGAAUAUGUCACGUUUGGUAAUUAAAAGAUUAGACGACAUUAUGACAAAACACAAUAUACCAUGUGGUAAAAAUGUCCUUCGUGACGGUGUCCAUUAAAUUUCAAAGCCAAACUACGUAAUACAUGCAUUGUUUCUUCUUCUGUGUAUGAUAAUUGGAUAGUAUAUAAGAAAUAUAUUUGCACGUUGGCUAAACUGUUUCAAUCAUUGUCUAUGUAUAUUAGUUUCAAUCAAUCAGGUAAGAACACCAUUUUGUUCAAGUACAAGCAUGUAUUGUUUUCACUCAAACAUUCUUUUGUAGGGAACAAUCAAUGCCAUGAACGCAAGCUGUCAAAUUGCAAAAGCAACACUUUUCAUUGAAAAAAGAGUGCGCUGUAAAUAUUCUGAAACAAGUUGAUGAAAGACUUGUAUUCCUGCACUACUCAUGUGAAUUGACUACACAUCAUCUUUAGUAUUUUUUUUAUUUUGUAGAUGUGUUCAUGUUGCGAUUUUUUUCCAUUUUCAGCGACGUAAUAUGAAUAUGAUGAGCAUGGAUAUUAUUAUAUUCUUCGUUUUUGCUGUGAUUUGUGCUGGAUUAGUAAAAGGAACAUGUCCGUCGACUUGCUCUUGUGCUGAUGAUUCGUCAGGCGCUAUAAUUAACUGUUACUCUAAAUAUCUCGGACACAUUCCAGCACUUCCAAAUGAUACGUACCAUCU